UUGAACAGAGCACACAUAUCAGAAG
rnacentral:piRNA from 1 species